rnacentral:rRNA from 1 species
CUGCUGCCUUCCGUAGGAGUCUGGUCCGUGUCUCAGUACCAGUGUGGGGGACCUUCCUCUCAGAACCCCUAGACAUCGUCGCCUUGGUGGGCCGUUACCCCGCCAACUAGCUAAUGUCACGCAUGCCCAUCCGUCUCCGGAGUCGCCUCCUUUGGCCGAAAGAAGAUGCCUCCCCUCGGCCACAUGCGGUAUUAGGCCGGAUUUCUCCGGGUUAUCCCGCUGAAACGGGCAGGUUGCAUACGCGUUACUCACCCGUGCGCCGGUCGCCGG